UUUUUAGUAUAAAUAUGUCCCAUGCAAUAUUGGGGACAUACUUAUACUAAAA
rfam:TPA: Bos taurus chromosome 2, whole genome shotgun sequence.